AGNACGCCGCGGUGAAUACGUUCCCGGGCCUUGUACACACCGCCCGUCACACCAUGAGAGUUUGUAACACCCGAAGCCGGUGGCGUAACCCUUUUAGGGAGCGAGCCGUCUAAGGUGGGACAAAUGAUUAGGGUGAAGUCGUAACAAGGUAGCCGUAGGAGAACCUGCGGCUGGAUCACCUUCUUU
rnacentral:rRNA from 1 species